rnacentral:rRNA from 1 species
ACACCGGCAGCCCAAGUGGUGGCCAUUUUUAUUGGGCCUAAAGCGUUCGUAGCCGGCCUGAUAAGUCUCUGGUGAAAUCCCGCAGCUUAACUGUGGGAAUUGCUGGAGAUACUAUCAGGCUUGAGGUCGGGAGAGGUUAGAGGUACUCCCAGGGUAGGGGUGAAAUCCUAUAAUCCUGGGAGGACCACCUGUGGCGAAGGCGUCUAACUGGAACGAACCUGACGGUGAGUAACGAAAGUCAGGGGCGCGAACCGGAUUAGAUACCCGGGUAGUCCUGGCCGUAAACGAUGUGGACUUGGUGUUGGGAUGGCCUCGAGCUGCCCCAGUGCCGAAGGGAAGCUGUUAAGUCCACCGCCUGGGAAGUACGGCCGCAAGGCUGAAACUUAAAGGAAUUGGCGGGG